rnacentral:rRNA from 1 species
AGGACGAACGCUGGCGGCGUGCUUAACACAUGCAAGUCGAGCGGAAAGGCCCUUCGGGGUACUCGAGCGGCGAACGGGUGAGUAACACGUGAGUAAUCUGCCCCUAGCUCUGGGAUAGCUCCGGGAAACCGGGAUUAAUACCGGAUACGACCACCUUAGACAUCUUUUGUGGUGGAAAGAAUUUCGGCUAGGGAUGAGCUCGCGGCCUAUCAGCUUGUUGGUGGGGUAACGCCUACCAAGGCGACGACGGGUAGCCGGCCUGAGAGGGCGACCGGCCACACUGGGACUGAGACACGGCCCAGACUCCUACGGGAGGCAGCAGUGGGGAAUAUUGCGCAAUGGGCGAAAGCCUGACGCAGCGACGCCGCGUGGGGGAUGAAGGCCUUCGGGUUGUAAACCCCGUUUCAGCAGGGACGAAGCGAAAGUGACGGUACCUGCAGAAGAAGCGCCGGCUAACUUCGCGCCAGCAGCCGC